GGCUGUUUGGGGACCUCCUGGGUGAUUACAUACAUGGCUGGUCAGCGACGUUGCCUGAGAGCCCCGGCAGCUAUGCCAGUCUUCCAGUUUUCUUUCAUUGCAGUUUGGGUCGGAUGAGGAUAAGAUUGUGUUUUAAUAAGUGUUUGUUAGGGAGUGCUUCCCCCCCGCCUCCCACCCGCAUAAAACUGUUUAUUUUCCUUGCAGUAACACGUGUGUUGCUCAGCUUCUGCUGUUCCAUGUGUCGUGCUCUGUUACUCUGCCUUGCUCACAGCCGCAGAGCGGGGGGAACGCUGCCAAGGCUUUUUCUGGGAAUUUGCUCUGGUCGUGCUGCUUCCCCGGGAGCACUCGGUGGAUGCAUGUUGUUUGCAGGGGGGGAAAAUACUCAAAUGUCAGCAUCUGAAGGAAUCACGAAGGAAGCAAGGCGAGCACCAACUACUCUUCCACCUCUCAGAGGUGCCUGCAUGCUCAUAGCCUAGAUAUAACCCUGCUACAGAUUAUAGACGUGUUUUAGUUGAGAUUCUCUGUGCUUGAUGCAUUGUCUGACUACAACGCAGGGCAAACUCUACUCCUCCCUUCUGGCCUGGCCUGUAAUGAUGGAUUAAGUAGGAGAGGAAGGUGUUGAGUCUUUCCUGUUCUUCCCAAGGGCUGAGCUGUCAUACCUUUCUGAGGGCUGGAGGAAGGAAAGGGACUGAGUCUGCCCUCAGAGUUCAGGUCCUUCUCCAGGACUCUGGGAACUGCCUGCAUGUGAUUGACAGCAUCGUAUCAGUAUGUAUAGGACUGCAUCUCAUGCUGUCAGGUCAGAGAUUAUCUCCAAGCAGCCCAUACUCAACGUUUAGUUGGAAAAGACACAAAGAAGCAGAGCCAUUCCCCUCUCUGUAUCAUCUGCCUCUGAGAAUGGGAGAGUACUGGCAGAGUGUAACCAGAGCUGACACUUGGUGGAAGAGUUGCUGGUGUGCCUGGAGGUGCAGCGUGAGGUGGGCUGGCCAGAGGAGACCUCUGCUCCCCCGUAGACACUGAGCUGCUGCUUGGGAAUGGAUCUCGGGGACCAGAAACAGCUCCUGAACCUCCAGCAAGCCACCUCGGGAUGGAAGUGGUGUCUGAGUCUCUUAGAGUCGUAGGAUUAUGAAGGUUGGAAUAAAGCACUGAGAUCAUCAGCCCAUCCCCUCCAUGCCCACUAAACCAUGUCCUUCAGUGCCGCAUUCUGCCCCAUCAUGGGACAGCCUGGGAGCUGGAAGGUUUAUUUUUAUGGAUGGUUUCAGCUGGAUUUCUCUCUUCUUUUGAACAAAGUGUUUCCUCUUGGAUGAUUUGAGCCUGCCCUCAUUUGGAUCUUUGUUUUCGCAAAUCCAAGUCAGCGUGGCUCAUUCUGCCUGGAUCUGAGGAGGAUGGCUGUCUGUUAAGGACAAGCUGAAGUUCAGCAUGUCAGCAGUGGUCAAGGAAUGAACCAGGACCCCAGUGGCCUCGCUCGGCUCUUGAUCAGAUGAAUUUUCUUCUGGAGAGCUGGGAGGUGGGUUAGGGAAGGCUGUUGCUGUGGCAGCAGGAGCGGAUCAGCCCUCUGCAGCCUGCUCUUCACACAGCAAGCUGCUCAGCGACCUGUCAGCGCUGUGCUGAUCAGAUGGGGGCUGAAGGCAGAGUUCAGAGCAGGAGGAUGGGUGGGUCCGUGUGCUGCUGUGAUAGAGAAAAAAGGCAGCAUGAGAGUGUGAUGGGCCUGUCCCAACCUUCUGCUUUUCCCAUGAGUUGCAUAGUGCCAGACCUUUGCUGUCCUGUUCUUUGGGUUGGGGACGACACAGGAGAGACGGGGGAAAUGGAGUAACAGCCCCAGCCACUGCCAUGGAGAAUAAAAUUGGGAAAAUGGUGAAAGACAAGAAGGUGAGAAAGCUGUGAGUUUUGUGUGUUUGCCUUUGGUUUGAUAUUGAAUGGCCCCAUCCCUGCAGACAGCCAAGGUCAGGCUGGAUAGGCUCUGAGCACUGAUGAAGCUGUGGGUGACGCUGCUCAGUCUGGGUGGGUUGGACCAGAUGGCCUUUAAGAGUCCCUUCCAGCUCAAAACAAUGCUGUGGUUCCCUGGGAGCCCUAGAGCUGACAUGUCCGGUUUCCAGGCUAUGGCAGAGCCCUGGUGGCUUUGCAACACGUGCUUAUGUAGUGGGGUAGCAGCCAAGGGAGUGGAAGGGGGUCUUCCCAUCAGACUUUAAAUGUGAAGACCCUGUCCGGUCCAUCUUUCCCAAGGACAGACUGUCUCAGCGUGGCUCCCACCAGCUCAAUCUGCUGUCACUGUGUCACUGUCACUGGUGGCUGGGGAGCUGCACCACGCACUGAAAUGCCCUCCCCGUGUGCGAGCUGGGAUCCAUCUUGUGUCAGCUGCCUUCAGCACUUCUGAGCCUCGCUGUAGCCCAGCCUGAAUUUGGCAUUCGCUGUCAGGUGGCUGAUUUCUGCCUGCAGAAUAUGGAAAGCGUCAGCCUGGCAUUUCCCGCUUGCCUCCUAGGGACAAAGCAGGUCAUGACUUUCGUGUAUUAUCAUUAAAAAGAUAAUUUCCUCUAGAUGUGUGCAAUAAGACAAUGGUGCUGACCUGUGAUCCUGGCAUUGCCCAGCAUUAAUGAUUUCCCUUUGCAGGUAAUAAGCAGCAAAUGUACACAUUUUGGGGAGAUCUGAAUUAUUUUUUUUUUUUCCUUUUAAGACUGCUGUCUUCCUAGGCCAGACUUAAUUAGCAGACCUCAUUAUUUCCUGAAAUGUAACUUGACUUCCAUUGAAUGAGAAUUGUUCAGUGGAUGGGGAGCAGCAGAGCGGUGCUGCAAUAUUCAUAUUGUUUAAAUUGCAACAUUAACAUUUCAUGCCGCUCUUGGCAUAUUUUCAGGUGCGGCCCUUUAGCUCAAUGCAGCGCUGUGAAAGGUUGGAUCAGAACAAUUAGGAUACAGUGACUGGAUUUCUGGAUUUUUAUUUUUUUUUAAGGAACACAAACUUAGAUUCAAUCCCCAUCACUCUUUUUGUUUGGCAGAACAGGGAUUCCAGCGCCCCUGAAGUAAAUGCUUUUCUGGAAUAAAGGAUGUGCUGUAGCACAUGCUCACCUCCUCUUUUAGUAGAGAUGAAGCCCUGCAGGUACAUGCAGUACGUGAUUCACGGGGCUGGAAGCAUCUCCUGGGACAUGACCUUUACCAGUCUGUUCCCGUGAGAUUUAUAGACUCUGACUGUCCCUGAGACCUCUGCCUCUCUGUCAGAUCAGGCUGAAAUCUGUUCUCAGUGUCAGAAGCUGCUGCCAAGCGGGCAGGGAAUGGGCUGAUGUGUUUCGGAACUCAGGCACAGAGCUGGGGGGCAAUGGGAGCUCUGAUUUCCAACUUGUGGGUUCACGAAGGUGAGCAUCCAGGAGAAGCGCCGUGCCCGCAGCCAUCCUCCACAAGAUGCCAUGCUGAGGGAUGCUCACAGGCUGCACUUCGUGUUCCCAUCACCUGCGGUGACCAUCGCAAGCGG